GAACAUUGCAACUAUUAGGUACCAUUCAGAGUCAAUGCGGACCUGAACACACAACUGGCCACGGAGGGAGGCCCUUCAUAAACAGAUCUUGCUGAGUUUAAUCAGAAUCUGCCUCAUGCACAUAGACACAGAUCCUCUUAGAGAUGAAAAGGUUGUCUGUGCAUACUUACAUCAGGGUGUGGCUACACAUUGAAAUUCACUGGUCUUGAGAUCUUUCUGGUCCUAUAGGGUACUGAUGUAUGUAUAUCCUGGUCUAUUAAUCACACAUGCAAAAAGGAAUUUUAGCCUGCAGAGUUGGCAUUUCUUUUUAAGUUUGUUCUUGUUGUUUUUGGUUUUUUAACCAUGAUAAAAAACAUAAUGGAAGAAAUCACUAAGGUAUUAACAUCAACAGUCAAGAUGAUAAUCUGGUAAGUAUGCAAUAACAGCAGUAGCAGAGGAAGAAGGCUGGUGGUCACUCAUAGAACAAAGCAGGCGCCCUCAGGUGCAAGCCCUCUUUGCACUCUCCACAGUCUAUGGGAAGGAGAUGGGAAGGGAAUUGCACAUAAGCCAGACGAUUUCCAGGAAAACAGGCUUAACAGUUUGUAAAUAUAUAAAGCCUUUUGAGGACACAAAAUAAAGUGUGGUCUUUAAAGAAAAUAGGCUUAGUUACAGGAUGGGCAGACAGUGUUUUGAACACGGUUGGAUCAAAUGGUGAAGACCAUAUUUCAAAGAUGCAACUUCUGCGUGUUUAUGUCUAAGCAGCUUCUGGUCUUUAAAACUGUCUUUCAUACAAAUGUGAGAGAUGACAAACUUUAUUGGGGGUCCUGAAGCUUUUAGUAAGGGGGUGCCACCCACUGAUCUAAGUCAUUCUUGAACACGAUUAUGAGUGUUUUCAUACAUAUGUGAUGCAUUGAGUAACUGAAUGGAUCCCAUCUGGGAGAUAUAUAAAGUGGACACUGAAGUGACUCAUCAGGCAGCUGCAGAGAAUACACAGAUGAGAAUGGCAGGGAACUCCACCAUGAAGAUGCUGAGCAUCAUCCACACCAUUUCCAGAAGAUGGAAAAAGCCACAUGACUGUGGAACAGUAAGUGUCCCUUUUGAAAUGUACAUGUUACAAAAAACAUAAAAAGAAAAUCCUUUUAAAAACUCAGUGAAUUUGAGACUGUUAUAAUCAGAAAUAAUUAGAAUACAAAAUGCAGCAGCAUUUUAAGGGAUUCACCAAUUGACGGUUACUUAUAUUUUAUUUUGUUUCUCAGCCACAAAAUUGAGGAAGAGUUUGAAGCUCACGGCUGCCAGAGUGAAACCUUGGGCUCUGGUAUUAGCUGCCUUGUACAUGGCUGAUUGGAACACAAAGGAAAAUAAUCUUGUAAGUUGUUGAUGAAAACAAGACUACUUGAAAUUUUAAUAUGAAAAACAUCCUUCAUUGUCUGGCCUAUCAAAUAUUUAAUGGUUCUAAACUUCAAGUUAUUCUGAGAACAAGAUAGGAUAAUAAUGUAUAAGUCACAAAAUUAAAAUUGUCAAGUGGGUGAUGUAUGAUGAAGUGUAUAAGCACAUGCACAGAAAAAAAUUAUACAACUUAAUUGACAUUAAUAAAUAAAUGAGGAGUUCCAGAAGAGUCUUUGUUGGCCUGUGACUAUGUUAGUCAACCUGAAAUCAAUCAAAAGGGCAACUGGACAUUCCAAUCUCUGGUGGGGGUUAGGGGCUUGUUAAUAGCAAGCAGCUAGCAGUAGACACAGGGAAGAACACACACAUACGU
rnacentral:lncRNA from 1 species